AGGGGGCAAAAUUCAGAAUAAGUAUGAUGAUUCUUUUCUCCAGAAAGAAAGAGAAGAAUGAAACAUCCAAUCUGAUUUAUGAUCUCUUCCUUUCCUAUUCUCAAAAAACUCUCUCUCUAUUAAUUAUUUUUACAGCCAACAACAACAAUACACAUUUGACAAUAAAAGCUCCACCAUCUUAAAUAGUGCUCAACUGUCCCUCUUUUGAAACUAUAUUAUUAUUAUGAGUACAAAAAUUAAAUAGUGAGUAGUGCAGAUUGAGAGAUCACUACAAUCUUGAUUUUUCAUGGAGAUUUCUCAAAGGGUUCCUUACAUAGUUCUUUGGCAUUCUGUCCACCUCCCUUAUAUAUAAUUUUCUGUUUUUUUAGAAAAUUAUUUUUUAUUAUUUAGAAGGAAAAAAAGAAGAAGAAAGAAUGGAGGUGGGCAUACUGUCAACAGAUUUGUGUUGGUUUCUCUUUGUGAAAUCUUCGUGAUGUUUCACCUCACACGUUGUUUUGUUGUUGUUAAUUAAACCACAGAUUUUGUGCUGAUGAAUGAUGAUGAUGAUGACUAGGCUUUUUUUGGAAAUUCCAAAAAGCAACAACGCAACCUCCACGAUCUCUGUUCAUUAUCUUCUACAACAGCGCAGUUUUCAAACCCAGUGGUCCAGCUGGUUGGUUCUACAACGUUGCCACUAAUAGAAAGGCUUCAUCUGAUUACUCUGCCUGGGCUGCUAAACAGACUUUCAAUCUUGGUGAUUAGCCAAGAAAUUCGAGCAUAGCCAAGAAAGGAAGAAGAACGAGGCGACAGAGAAAAAUAGGAUUUCCUGUAAAAGGGUGGUUUCCCAUCUCUGCUUUGCCAGUGAUUUUUUCAUUAAUGGAACAAAAAACCAACAACCCUUUGAAAUAUACAAGAAAAACAAACAUUAUACCUUCAUCCAAA